rnacentral:rRNA from 1 species
UUAGGGGUUUCUGGUUUUUCAGGAAAUGAAUUUAAUUCAUACGUCUUAUUUAGAGUUUUAUUAUUUUUGUUAUUUAUCUUUAUUUGUCGUUAAGAUUGGGAGGGAUUAGCUUCUUAUUUUAUUUUUAUAAUUUUUUAUUUAUUUAGUCUUGUGGAUUUUAUGGUGAUUUUCGAUUUGAUUAUGUUAAAAUUUUGUUUGUCUUUUUCUUUAUUUUUAGUUUAUUUAAUUAUUUAUUGAAAUGUGUUCUUUAUCUUUAAUUUUGGUUAGUAAUUAUUGUGGAAUUAGUAAAUUAGUUGUUAGAUUGUUUUAACAUGUGUUAAUUUUUUUUGAGGAACUAGGCAAAUUUCAUGUCCGCCUGUUUAACAAAAACAUCUUUUCUCGUUAGUUUUUGAAGUAUGGCCUGCCCACUGACUUUAUGUUGAAGGGCCGCGGUAUCUUGACCGUGCAAAGGUAGCAUAAUCAUUAGUUCUUUAAUUGUGAUCUGGUAUGAAUGGCUUGACGAGGCAUGGGCUGUCUUAAUUUUGAAUUAUUUAUUGAAUUUGGUCUUUGAGUUAAAAUUCUUAGAUGUUUUUAUGGGACGAGAAGACCCUAUAGAGUUUAACAUUUAUUAUGGUCUCUUUCUGUUUGUGAGGGUUCAUUGGGCCGUUUAGUAUGUUUUGUUGGGGUGAUGGGAGGGAUUUAUUUAA